ACGAACGCUGGCGGCACGCUUAACACAUGCAAGUCGAACGAGAGAAGAGGAGCUUGCUUUUCUGAUCUAGUGGCGGACGGGUGAGUAACACGUGAGCAAUCUGCCUUUCAGAGGGGGAUACCGAUUGGAAACGAUCGUUAAUACCGCAUAACAUAAUUGAACCGCAUGAUUUGAUUAUCAAAGAUUUAUCGCUGAAAGAUGAGCUCGCGUCUGAUUAGCUAGUUGGUAAGGUAACGGCUUACCAAGGCGACGAUCAGUAGCCGGACUGAGAGGUUGAUCGGCCACAUUGGGACUGAGACACGGCCCAGACUCCUACGGGAGGCAGCAGUGGGGAAUAUUGCACAAUGGAGGAAACUCUGAUGCAGCGAUGCCGCGUGAGGGAAGAAGGUUUUAGGAUUGUAAACCUCUGUCUUCAGGGACGAAAAAAGACGGUACCUGAGGAGGAAGCUCCGGCUAACUACGUGCCAGCAGCCGCGGUAAUACGUAGGGAGCGAGCGUUGUCCGGAAUUACUGGGUGUAAAGGGAGCGUAGGCGGGAUCGCAAGUCAGAUGUGAAAACUAUGGGCUUAACCCAUAAACUGCAUUUGAAACUGUGGUUCUUGAGUGAAGUAGAGGUAAGCGGAAUUCCUAGUGUAGCGGUGAAAUGCGUAGAUAUUAGGAGGAACAUCAGUGGCGAAGGCGGCUUACUGGGCUUUAACUGACGCUGAGGCUCGAAAGCGUGGGGAGCAAACAGAAUUAAAGACCCUGAUAGUACAAGACGGAAACGAGGAUUACUAGAGGUGUGAAAACUGAACCGUUCCGGGCCGGAGCAAACGCAAUAAGUAAUCCACCUGGGGAGUACGACCGCAAGGUUGAAACUCAAAGGAAUUGACGGGGGCCCGCACAAGCAGUGGAGUAUGUGGAUUAAUUCGAAGCAACGCGAAGAACCUUACCAGGUCUUGACAUCGUAUGCAUAGCUCAGAGAUGAGUGAAAUCUCUUCGGAGACAUAUAGACAGGUGGUGCAUGGUUGUCGUCAGCUCGUGUCGUGAGAUGUUGGGUUAAGUCCCGCAACGAGCGCAACCCUUACUGUUAGUUGCUACGCAAGAGCACUCUAGCAGGACUGCCGUUGACAAAACGGAGGAAGGUGGGGAUGACGUCAAAUCAUCAUGCCCCUUAUGACCUGGGCCUCACACGUACUACAAUGGCUGUCAACAGAGGGAUGCAAAGCCGCGAGGUGGAGCGAACCCCUAAAAGCAGUCUUAGUUCGGAUUGUAGGCUGCAACCCGCCUACAUGAAGUCGGAAUUGCUAGUAAUCGCAGAUCAGCAUGCUGCGGUGAAUACGUUCCCGGGCCUUGUACACACCGCCCGUCACGCCAUGGGAGUCGGUAACACCCGAAGCCUGUAGUCUAACCGCAAGGAGGACGCAGUCGAAGGUGGGAUUGAUGACUGGGGUG
rnacentral:rRNA from 1 species